rnacentral:lncRNA from 1 species
GCCGACAUUGGGAUUUCUUUCAGUCUAGGAACUGAAAAAUUGUUGUGCGAUAGAGCUGAACGUCUUGAGAUGAUGAUAGCACUAUCAUAUCAUCCUAGGCAGUGCAGUGCAGGUAACCCGUAACCUCUGUCUGUCUGUCUGUCUGGCUUGCAUGUUUAAUAAUUGAAGUUGACAUAGAUACAUGGCUGGGUAAGGAGGGGACCUGGAAGAGUGAUUUUUUGGCAGAAGAACAAGAGGUAACAACAACAUUUUUGGAUAUACCCAGCCAAUUUGCAUGGCCGAUACAAUACAGAUCUUGUGUGUUUUCUUGUUGUUGUUGUUGUUUAUCAAGAGACGAGCAUGGUCUAUCUUAUCUUGUGAUAUAUGAUGGUCAUUAGUAGUAUUCAUCAUCAAUCAAUCUUUAAAUACAGGAUUGGAUGGUCAACUUGGGACUUGUUUGGUACAUCAACCAGAAGAAUGAAUUCCAGUGAGUGUUGUUGGCCGGUGCAUGCCACAGAGAUGAAUGCUACUCCCUCCGUUCCACAAUACAUGCCUUCCCUCUGUCAAAAUAUAGAUGUAUCUAGACAUGUUUUAGUAUAUAGGUACAUUCAUUUUUGGACAAAUGAAAAUCAAGUAUUUUGGAACGGAGGGAGUAGAUUUCAAUUACUUUCCAGUGAGUGUUGUUGGCCGGUGCAUGCCACAGAGAUGAAUGCUAGAUUUCAAUUACAGAAUCACCCUUUUGGGCGUCGAGAAUUCUGCUCGACGGUUGAGAGUUGAAUUUGAGCUUUGAGCGGACUUGAAACGUUUUGGAGUAUGUUCAAGUUGUAUUUUCUGUUCUCGCAAACACAGGCGUACGUACCAAGUGACGUGCGAUGUGAUUAUAUAUA